GAUGAACGCUAGCGGCAGGCUUAACACAUGCAAGUCGAGGGGUAUAGUUCUUCGGAACUAGAGACCGGCGCACGGGUGCGUAACGCGUAUGCAAUCUACCUUUCACAGAGGGAUAGCCCAGAGAAAUUUGGAUUAAUACCUCAUAGUAUACAGACUCGGCAUCGAGAUUGUAUUAAAGUCACAACGGUGAAAGAUGAGCAUGCGUCCCAUUAGCUUGUUGGUAAGGUAACGGCUUACCAAGGCUACGAUGGGUAGGGGUCCUGAGAGGGAGAUCCCCCANACUGGUACUGAGACACGGACCAGACUCCUACGGGAGCAGCAGUGAGGAAUAUUGGACAAUGGGCGCAAGCCUGAUCCAGCCAUGCCGCGUGAGUGACGAAGGUCUUCGGAUU
rnacentral:rRNA from 1 species